CCAAGUUAGGAAACCAAGAUACAACAUGAACAAAAAUGUUUGCAAACGCUCCCACUGGCUACAACGGCUGUGAGAAACACAUAGAAAACCCAAAGUGAGCGAUUACUCAGAAUGACUGACACUUGAUAGGUCUGAAAUUGGCCCCGCACAACCAUGAAAGGACUAACAAGUCUAUCUGUCAGAUCCCUUAUGCCAACUUGUGCAGAAAACUGACUGAAUGCAAAAGAUAGAUCAAAUGGUAUCCAGUUUCAGUGUUAAUUGCAGGAAAGGAGACCUGAGCAUGAAGCCCAGGCUGACACUUCAGGCAGCAAUGGGGAAGGGCUGCACUAUUAGAGGUGCCAUCUUUCCAUUGAAGAGUCAAACUAAGGCCUUGUGUGCCCUCUGAUGUGCAUCUAAAAGGUCUCGUGACACUAUUUUGAAGACGACCAAGGAAGUUCUCCCCUGUGUCUUGGACAAUAUUUCUCCCUGGACUAAUGCCACUAAAACAGAUUAUCUGGCCAGCAUCUUGUUGAUAUUUGUGGGACCUUACUGUGUACCAAUUGGUUGCCUUGUUUUCUACAUUACAAUAGUGACUAUGAUUCAAAAACUAUUUCAUUGAUUGUAAAGUGCCUCGGUACCUCAUGAACAAUGUACCCUCAAAUUUCUCUCUGCUGUGCAUUGCACAGUCCCCUUAAAACUGUCACGUGGCUGUGGAAACUUAAAGGUCAGAUUGGUUGUGUGUGGCCUAUUUAUUCCCUGCCCUGUAUGUUCUGGAUUGCUGCAUGCCACACUUUUGACAACUUAGAGGGAACAUUACUCCUGAGAUCAUGAGAGUGCUAUAUAAAUGCAAGAUUUUUUGUGCUUUCUUUUAACAUUUACAAUUACAUGACACUAGCUGACCUUGCAUAGGCAAUCUUUGCUUUACAGCUUUAUCACUGCUUGCUCUAAACCAAGUGAGUGGUUAUCUUGCAUCCCCUCUCUUUUUCCACAUCUUCCCAUUUAAUACUUGUGUUAUUGUUCUCUUUCACUCUGCGGUCUCUUUCCGUCCAUGUACCCUAUCAAGAGUGCUAAUUCAGAGCUGACCUUUUUUGUCAGGAACUAUAUAUCUGAGGCUUUGUUUACCAUUGAAUACACAAACCUGUUAGGAAGUGGCAACCUGCAUCCAAUAGAAGCUUACAGGGGAAGUGACAUCUAGUGAUGUUAAUGAAUGUUGCCUUUCAUAUCUUCCAUCACCUUUUCCUUUUCUACUCCAUCUGCCUUCUUCUGUAUUUCUUUUUCGGUCAUGUCAGGAAUCUGGCCUGGAACUUGUGCCUGUUUUCUCUUGCUGGAGACAAGGAAACACUAUGGAGCUGUGUCAACAUCCUUGGGAUGAUAGAGAGCUCUCACUAGAACUAUGAGUGCUGGACUAGCUCCACCUCUGUAGUUCUCUUGCUCUAUUACAAUAUCCAGUGAGAAAAAAGGGCAGUGCUGGGACCCUCAAUUGUGGAAGUGUGACAUUACAACACUGAUGUGGAUAGCAAAUGGAAACACAAACACCACCUAAAAUUUCCGAUAAAGUAGGAUGUUUUUCUUGUUUUUGUUUCUAUAAACAGCACCAUGGUUAAAGUUCAGGUUUGUGACAGAAGUUAACUUAAUGACAUUAAUUAUAUUUGCUUAUAACCAUGAUCAUAUAUUUUAUAAUGGAUAUCAUAUAACUGUAAUAAGUUAACUUUAAUCAUAGAAUGCAACAGUGAUUGUAAACUUUAAGCAAUUGUAUGUAUUAUAUUACUGUAUAUCAAUACAGUAAUUGCAGAAUAUAACAGUAAUUGUAUGUCAUAUUAAUUGUAUAUUAUAUGAGAACAGUAAUUGCAUAUUAGAAAGGUAAACGAAUAUUAUUUUAUAACAGUAACUCGAUUGUAGAAGUCCAAUUUUCUCUCGUUACUCUCUAAUGAUCCUAAUUUGGAAGCGUAUAAGCAUCAAGAUACAGUAUUCAAAAUGACUAUGAAAUAAAGACAGAAUUUAUCGUGUGAAA